rnacentral:rRNA from 1 species
UACGUAGGGGGCGAGCGUUGUCCGGAAUCAUUGGGCGUAAAGCGCGUGUAGGCGGCUCGAUAAGUCUGGUGUGAAAUCUUGGGGCUCAACCCCAAGCCUGCACUGGAUACUGUCGAGCUUGAGUCCGGGAGGGGAGAGCGGAAUUCCUAGUGUAGCGGUGAAAUGCGCAGAUAUUAGGAAGAACACCGGUGGCGAAGGCGGCUCUCUGGAACGGUACUGACGCUGAGACGCGAAAGCGUGGGGAGCGAACAGG